UGCAGUCGACGCUUUGUGGUUCAACUGAUUUGAAGAGCUUGCUCAGAUAUGACGAUGGACAUUGCAAAGAGUGGCGAACGGGUGAGUAACACGUGGGAAACCUACCUCUUAGCAGGGGAUAACAUUUGGAAACAGAUGCUAAUACCGUAUAACAAUGACAACCGCAUGGUUGUUAUUUAAAAGAUGGUUCUGCUAUCACUAAGAGAUGGUCCCGCGGUGCAUUAGCUAGUUGGUAAGGUAAUGGCUUACCAAGGCGAUGAUGCAUAGCCGAGUUGAGAGACUGAUCGGCCACAAUGGGACUGAGACACGGCCCAUACUCCUACGGGAGGCAGCAGUAGGGAAUCUUCCACAAUGGGCGAAAGCCUGAUGGAGCAACGCCGCGUGUGUGAUGAAGGGUUUCGGCUCGUAAAACACUGUUGUAAGAGAAGAAUGACAUUGAGAGUAACUGUUCAAUGUGUGACGGUAUCUUACCAGAAAGGAACGGCUAAAUACGUGCCAGCAGCCGCGNUA
rnacentral:rRNA from 1 species